rnacentral:rRNA from 1 species
AGAGUUUGAUCAUGGCUCAGAACGAACGCUGGCGGCAGGUCUUAGGCAUGCAAGUCGAACGGAUGACAAGGGAGCUUGCUUCCUUGAAGUCAGUGGCGCACGAGUGAGUAACGCGUGGGAAACUGCCCUUCACUGGGGAAUAACGUUUGGAAACGAACGCUAAUACCGCAUACGCCCGCAAGGGGAAAGAUUUUAUCGGUGAUGGAUGUGCCCGCGUUGGAUUAGCUAGUUGGUGGGGUAAUGGCCUACCAAGGCGAUGAUCCAUAGCUGGUCUGAGAGGACGAUCAGCCACGCUGGAACUGAGACACGGUCCAGACUCCUACGGGAGGCAGCAGCUAAGAAUAUUGGGCAAUGGAGGAAACUCUGACCCAGCCAAUGCCGCGUGAAUGAAGAAGGCCUUCGGGUUGUAAAGUUCUUUUAGUCAUGAAGAUGAUGACAGUAGUGACAGAAAAAGCACCGGCUAACUUCGUGCCAGCAGCGGC